rnacentral:rRNA from 1 species
GACGAACGCUGGCGGCGUGCUUAACACAUGCAAGUCGAACGGUGAACGAGGGAGCUUGCUCCCUCCGGGUCAGUGGCGAACGGGUGAGUAACACGUGAGCAAUCUGCCCCGAACUCUGGGAUAAGCGUUGGAAACGACGUCUAAUACCGGAUACGACGCGGGAGGGCAUCCUCUCCGCGUGGAAAGAACUUCGGUUCGGGAUGAGCUCGCGGCCUAUCAGCUUGUUGGUGAGUUAACGGCUCACCACGGCGACGACGGGUAGCCGGCCUGAGAGGGUGACCGGCCACACUGGGACUGAGACACGGCCCAGAAUCCUACGGGAGGCAGCAGUGGGGAAUAUUGCACAGUGGGCGCAAGCCUGAUGCAGCAACGCCGCGUGAGGGACGACGGCCUUCGGGUUGUAAACCUCUUUUAGCAGGGAAGAAGCGAAAGUGACGGUACCUGCAGAAAAAGCACCGGCUAACUACGUG